rnacentral:lncRNA from 1 species
CACAUUUUGCCGUUCCGACUCUAAAGCAACUACAUUUCUCUACAGAGCACAGAACUAAUCUCACUCUGUUGCCCAGGCUGGAGUGCAGUGGCGCGAUCUCGGCUCACUGCAAGCUCCGCCUCCCGGAUUCACGCCAUUCUCCUGCCUCAGCCUCCGGAGUAGCUGGGACUACAGACGCACGCCGCCAAGCCCUGCUAAUUUUUUUUUUUUUUUUUUUUUUUUGUAUUUUUAGUAGAGACGGGGUUUCGCCGUGUUAGCCAGGAUGGUCUCGAUCUCCUGACCUUGAGAUCCGCCCGCCUCUGCCUCCCAAAGUGCUGGGAUUAUAGGCGUGAGCCACCGCGCCCGGCCUCUCAGUUGUACUAUUUCUUAAAUAACACAUUGAGCUCUAUAUUGAUGUGGUCACUUGUGACUUACUCAGAUAUUACUGGAACCCUCUCAACUGAAGCAGAAUUUUUUUGUGUGUAAUUACUUCUCAAAUCUACAUCCCCAACACUAGGAAAUGAGUAAGUUAAAGUCCCAGGCAUUGUUUACUAGGCAACAGAUCUCUUUGCAUUUUGUAAAUUAUUUGCCACCUGUCGCAUAUCGCAAGUACGAGUGAGAGAUAUCAAUGUGGAGAAAUACAUUUCAUUCAGGACCAUGCUGAUGAGUCUACGGAAGUUUGCAGAAAAAGCAAAAGCAGUAAAAAACCUUCAAUUAGGACGGAUUAACCACAUUAUAUGUGCGCCUGGUAAUGAAUGACUGAAUUGGACCUUCUACAGCUGAAGCUUUGUGGCUUUGGGUGCCUGGAAGAACUAGUUUCGUUUUUAGUCUAGAUAAGAACAGUGCUAAGAAAUAUUUAUGAGAAGCUGGGGUAAAUAUUGAAAAUUAUUGACUGAAUCAAUCUUUUCAGAGUACGAGAAGCCCCUUUAAGAAUUCAGAAGAAUUUUUUUUUAGUUCAUUAAUCAGUUCACCAAGCUACAAUCAAAAUUUUCUUACUAAGCUUCAAUAUGACAGGCUGAGCUCUCACUAUCUGUUUGGAUCAUGAUCCAUGGAUUAUGGCCUCCUUAGUGCAGUUGACAACUUAAACUGUUUUAGCUCAAGAGGAGUUUUUAUGGGUACUUUUAGCAGUGAGUCAAAAAGGUGCCUGCAGAGUAAAUAGGACUUUAAACGACAUACCUUUCAAUUCAUUGCCUCUUGGCAAAAUGUACAGAUUCCAAGUCUAUUUCAUGAAAGCCUUCUAUGGAUCUCAGUGGACUACCUCAUGCGUGUACUGAACCUGGGUUUGGGUCAUCACUCCUUGUUCAACAGUGACAGAAAACUCUUUUCAUUAAUAACAAUUGCAGAACAUUAUUAUCUUUCAGAUAAACUAUUAACAGAUUGUGAAAUUAGUGACUAAAAACACUGCUUUGAAAGAAGGUGAAUUUCAAACUUAUGCAACCAAGCAGGACUGAGUAAAUCCAGCAUUAUGUCUAUUUGGUGAUUAUUUAGAGAUGUGGAGUUAUGAUUUCGUUAAUAGAGUGCAUUCGUUUUGCAAUGAUGGGAUAUAGUAAACCUGUAUCAUUAAUGAACAAAAUAUCAUCCCUUGAUCUUUUUUUCUGAAGUCCUCAGAGAGAAUUCCUCCUUGGUGGCCUACUUAUACAUUGUACAUCUUUCAUGACACCUCAUUAUCUUCCUGUACUUAAUUAUUUUUAUCAUUUUCUCUCUUUCUCUCUAGCCAAAUGCUCCUUGAGUAUAAAGACCACUUUAUUUAUUUAUUUAUUUAUUUAUUUUGAGACGGAGUUGCCCAAGCUAGAGUGCAGUGGCACGAUCUCCGCUCCCUGCCACUUCUGCCUCCAGGUUCAAGCAAUUCUCCCACCUCAGCCUCCCGAGUAGCUGGGAUUACAGGCACAUGCCACCAUGCCUGGCUAAUUAAGAACACCUGUUCUUAAUAUCUUUAUCCAUAGUUCCUGGCAGAUAAUAAAUGCUUAUUAAAUAAUAAUGAAAGGGUGCUUGGAUUAUUCUUCUUUUACAUCAUACCAUGGUUAUGUGUAUCUUCUUAGUCCUGAUGCCUAGGUAGCUAUCAAGUCUAUGGAAGGCAGCCUCAGUCCAUAGAAAAUGUAUAUCAGGCUGAAAAGUUUUAAGCACACAUGAGAGUGUGCCCAUAUGUGAUGGUGGAGAGACUGCUGGAAAGCAGAGUGUUUUCUAAUUCUGGGGGGCAUGAGUAUCUAGAUUGAGGAGCAGAGAGAGACGGGGUUUGGGAAGAAAGCAAACAGCACAGAAAUUGCCUUGAUGCACUGUACACACAGUGAACCACAUCCUCACCCUUGUGGGGAGUUGCUCUCUGAGAUAUCUGGCUUUUGCUCUGACAUCGGGAAGGAGGCACUCAUUUUUUAAAUUUCUGCUCCCAAAAUAUAGGCUUUAGGAGCGGGGAUGGAGAAGCACAGUUAGACCCCUGACAAUUUUGUUGUUGUUGUUAUAGCAUGGAAACGUUUUAUCUAAUGAAAAAAAUUAGGAAGACAUUUUAGUUGUAAAAUAUAUAAAACUCUGUGGGGCAGAGUGCCAACACAUUCAUCUACAGAGCAACAAAUAUUUCACAGGUGUGUAUAAAAGACAUCUUGUAAAAAAUUCUUUUUAUAAACAAAAUCAAUCUAUAUUGGACUCUGCUUCUCCCCUUCUAUAGAACCAGGAUCAGUUCUUCAUAAAAGUGUAUAAGUACACAUACAUAUAUAUGCAUAUACAUGCACGGAUAUACACACAUAUGUAUAUGUGUGUGUGUGUAUAUAUAUAUACACAUAUAUACACAUAUAUAUAUACACAUAUAUACACAUAUAUAUACACAUAUAUAUAUACACAUAUAUACACAUAUAUAUACACAUAUAUAUACACACAUAUACAUAUAUAUACACACACAUAUAC